rnacentral:rRNA from 1 species
AACUUAAGCAUAUAANUAAGCGGAGGAAAAGAAACUAACAAGGAUUCCCCCAGUAACGGCGAGUGAAGCGGGAAGAGCUCAUGUUGUGAAUCUGGCCCUCGGGCCCGAACUGUACACUGGAGAGGCGAGGCCAGCCGCUGUCCGCGGCCAAGUCUGAUUGGAAAUGAGCAUCAAGGAGGGUGACAAUCCCGUCCAUGCCGCGGUAUCGAUCAGCGCGCGUCCGGCCCGCUUUCGACGAGUCGAGUUGCUUGGGAUUGCAGCUCAAAGAGGGUGGUAAACUCCAUCCAAAGCUAAACACGGGGGGGAGACCGAUAGCGAACAAGUACCGUGAGGGAAAGAUGCAAAGAACUUUGAAAAGAGAGUUAAAGAGUGCCUGAAAUUGCUGGAAGGGAAGCGAAGGAAAGAAGUGUGCGGUUGCCCGGGCGCCAACCCCUACCUGUCCGCAGGUGGGGGUAGGCCGCCCGGCCGCGGUCAGGGGUCGCGCCGGGCUCGGGGGAAGAGCCGUCGGGGAUCGGUAGGCGCGCCGCUUCGGCGGGGCGCUGUCAGGCCCCGGUGGUGUUCCAUCAUCCAUCAUCAUCAAGUAUGUCUUUCUUUCUUGAUGGAUAUAUUUGUUGUGUUGGUUGUUGUUGCCCUGAGCCCGGCCCCCUUCUGGCGGUCGCGGCUUUUCUUCACCCCGUCUUGAAACACGGACCAAGGAGUCUAGCGUGGACGCGAGUAGAGGGGUGUCGAAACCCCCCUGCGCAAUGAAGGUGAACGCCGGUGGGAGGCCGUCCGUCUUGGGCGGCGGCCAGCACCAUCGACCGAGCGUGCUCCUCCGGGGGCAAGGCUUGAGUGUGAGCGUGCAUGCUGGGACCCGAAAGAUGGUGAACUAUGCCUGAAUAGGGCGAAGCCAGGGGAAACUCUGGUGGAGGCUCGUAGCGAUUCUGACGUGCAAAUCGAUCGUGAGAUUUGGGUAUAGGGGCGAAAGACUAAUCGAACCAUCUAGUAGCUGGUUCCCUCCGAAAUUUCCCUCAGGAUAGCAGCGGCCGAGUGCUAACAGUUUUAUCAGGUAAAGCGAAUGAUUAGAGGCUGCGGGGGAGUAACUCCCUCGCCCUAUUCUCAAACUUUAAAUGGGUAAGGAGCCGGGGUCGCUUGAUUGGACCCUCGGCGGCAGCGCCGCGCAAGUGGUGUUGUUUUUGCUGGAAUGGCUGGUCGUUAGUGGGCCAGUCCGGGUAAGCUGGACUGGCGAUGCGGGAUGAACCGAACGCCUAGAUGAAGCGCCUCACUGCCCGCUCACCUAGNUCCCACAAAAGGUGUUGGUUCAUCAGACAGCAG